UACGUAGGGCGCAAGCGUUGUCCGGAAUUAUUGGGCGUAAAGAGCUCGUAGGCGGCUUGUCACGUCGGGUGUGAAAGCCCGGGGCUUAACCCCGGGUCUGCAUUCGAUACGGGCUAGCUAGAGUGUGGUAGGGGAGAUCGGAAUUCCUGGUGUAGCGGUGAAAUGCGCCGAUAUCAGGAGGAACACCGGUGGCGAAGGCGGAUCUCUGGGCCAUUACUGACGCUGAGGAGCGAAAGCGUGGGGAGCGAACAGG
rnacentral:rRNA from 1 species